rnacentral:rRNA from 1 species
AUGGCGAGCAGCACCGCUCUCUCCUGCCUGGCCGCGCUCCUGCUCCUCGCGGCUGCCGGGGCGCCGGUGUCCGCGGCGGAGAAGGAGACCCGGCUGCGGGUGUACUGGCACGACGUCGUGAGCGGCGGGCCGAACGCGAGGGUGGUGCAGGUGGCGCAGGCGCCGUCCUCCAACGCCUCCGCCACGGGCUUCGGCACCGUGCUCGUCAUCGACGACCCGCUCACCGAGGGGCCCAACCUGACGUCGAGGCUCCUCGGCCGCGCGCAAGGCAUGUACGUCAGCGCCGGCAAGGACAGCUUGUCGCUGCUCAUGGCCAUGAACUUCGUCUUCGUCGACGGCGCCUACAACGGGAGCAGCAUCGCCAUCAUCGGGCCCAACCAGGCGGACCGGGCCGUCAGGGAGAUGCCCGUCGUCGGCGGCACCGGCGUCUUCCGCUUCGCGCGCGGCUACUGCCAGUUGCGGACCCACUGGUUCGACGCCAAGACCGGCGAUGCCACCGUGGAGUACAAGAUCCAUCUCCGCCACGACUGA